CCUACGGGAGGCAGCAGUGAGGAAUAUUGGUCAAUAGGCGAGAGUCUGAACCAGCCAAGUCGCGUGAGGGAGUACUGCCCUAUGGGUUGUAAACCUCUUUUGUCGGGGAGCAAAAGCCGGACGUGUCCGGCUGUGAGAGUACCCGAAGAAAAAGCAUCGGCUAACUCCGUGCCAGCAGCCGCGGUAAUAGGGAGGCUGCGAGCUUGAUCCGGAUUUAGUGGGUUAAAGGGGAGCGCAGGCGGAUUUUUUAUGCAGCGGUCAAAUCGUGGGGCUCAACCCCAUCCAGCCGUUGAAACUGGGGAUCUAGAGUGUGCGAGAGGUAUGCGGAAUGCGUGGUGUAGGGGUGAAAUGCAUAGAUAUCACGCAGAACCCCGAUUGCGAAGGCAGCAUACCGGUGCACAACUGACGCUCAGGCACGAAAGCGUGGGUAUCGAACAGGAUUAGAUACCCGGGUAGUC
rnacentral:rRNA from 1 species